AGUGGGGUAGACAAAAGGAUUGUUACCGGGCUCAUACCCCGGGGGUGUGGGUUCAAGUCCCACCUCCAUUU
rnacentral:tRNA from 1 species